GAUGAAGAACGUAGCGAAAUGCGAUAAGUAAUGCGAAUUGCAGAAUUCAGUGUAUCAUCGAAUCUUUGAACGCACAUUGCGCCCGCUAGUAUUCUGGCGGGCAUGCCUGUCUGAGCGUCAUUUCAACCCUCGCCCCCGGCUUUUGCUGGGAGCGGUGUUGGGGGUCGGCCGCCCGUCACUGGGAGGCCGGCCCCGAAAUAGAGUGGCGACCACGCCGUGUGCUCCUCUGCGUAGUAGUAAAUCACCUCGCAGGCGGACAGCGGUGCGGCCUGCCGUAAAACCCCCAACUCUUUCUGGUUGACCUCAGAUCAGGUAGGAAUACCCGCUGAACUUAAGCAUAUCAAUAAGCGGAGGA
rnacentral:misc_RNA from 1 species